rnacentral:rRNA from 1 species
UACGUAGGGUCCGAGCGUUGUCCGGAAUUAUUGGGCGUAAAGGGCUCGUAGGCGGUUUGUCGCGUCGGGAGUGAAAACAUCUGGCUUAACUGGGUGCUUGCUUUCGAUACGGGCAGACUGGAGGUAUGCAGGGGAGAACGGAAUUCCUGGUGUAGCGGUGAAAUGCGCAGAUAUCAGGAAGAACACCCGUGGCGAAGGCGGCUCUCUGGGACGGUACUGACGCUGAGACGCGAAAGCGUGGGGAGCGAACAGG